rnacentral:rRNA from 1 species
GAUUGAACGCUGGCGGCAUGCCUUACACAUGCAAGUCGAACGGUAACAGGUCUUCGGAUGCUGACGAGUGGCGAACGGGUGAGUAAUACAUCGGAACGUGCCCGAUCGUGGGGGAUAACGAAGCGAAAGCUUUGCUAAUACCGCAUAAGAUCUACGGAUGAAAGCAGGGGACCGCAAGGCCUUGCGCGAACGGAGCGGCCGAUGGCAGAUUAGGUAGUUGGUGGGAUAAAAGCUUACCAAGCCGACGAUCUGUAGCUGGUCUGAGAGGACGACCAGCCACACUGGGACUGAGACACGGCCCAGACUCCUACGGGAGGCAGCAGUGGGGAAUUUUGGACAAUGGGCGAAAGCCUGAUCCAGCCAUGCCGCGUGCAGGAUGAAGGCCUUCGGGUUGUAAACUGCUUUUGUACGGAACGAAAAGACUCUGGUUAAUACCUGGGGUCCAUGACGGUACCGUAAGAAUAAGCACCGGCUAACUACGUG